rnacentral:rRNA from 1 species
UACGGGGGGGGCAAGCGUUGUUCGGAAUUACUGGGCGUAAAGGGCGCGUAGGCGGUUCGCUAAGUUGGAUGUGAAAACUCUGGGCUCAACCCAGAGCCUGCAUCCAAAACUGGCGGGCUAGAGUUCUGGAGGGGGUAGCGGAAUUCCUGGUGUAGCGGUGAAAUGCGUUGAUAUCAUCAGGAACACCGGUGGCGAAGGCGGCUUUCUGGGUCUUACCUGACGCUGAGGAACGAAAGCCAGGGGAGCGAACGGG